CCCAAAAUCAAAAGCCCUAUUCUCUCACUAUCGACUCUCUCUCUCGCUAUUGGACCGAAGAACACAGCAAACCGGCAACCCUUCCCUCCCCUUCUCCUCGUCGGCGAUGCAGUCCGAUGGCGGAGGCAUCAGAACCGACGGCAGAGCUCCGGCGGCGAUGGACGGCCUUCAGCGACGAACGGCGGCUCGGAGCAACUUGGACCUCCCUUGGUCGACGACGAGGCAGUCUGGCGGUGGAGGCGAGCCCAGGUGGCGAUGACGGCGGCUCCCUUCUAUUCCCUCUCCGGCUGGACAGUGGCACAUCCUCUUCCCUCCUCCCUCUCUUGGCGGCGGUGAUGGUGGUGGGUCAGAGAAGUUUGAGCAGAAGUAGAGGGAGGUGGCAGUGUUGAUGAAUUAAGGUUCCCCGUUGAAUUGAAGUGGCUAGUCUGAGAUUUGAGUUUUAGAUUGGAUGUUUGUUUUUGGAGCUUAGCUUUGAGGACUUGAUAGAAGUGACUCGAUUUGAGAGCGCGGCGUAGAGUUCGUAUGCCUUGUAAUUGAAUUUGGUAUAGACCUUAUGGUUUUAGAAAUUGAAUUACAGAAGUGUAGUUAACUUGUACAUUCGGAAUAUAGAAGUGGUGUUGUAAAGAUUGUGGGAGUAAAUUAUAUGGUUGUUUAAUGUUGUGGAUUUGUAGUUGAAUAUAACCCCGUUAGCCUGUGCGUUUGGGCUUGGUUGACAGCCCAAGCGUGGCGUGACACCCCAUGGUUUAAGUUUUGAUUUCGCUUCCACAUUUAUUUUUAGAAUGGUUAGCAAGAAAGAUUGUUUAUUUAUGGUUUA